GAAAUAAAAAUUGUGCAAUCACGGAAUAAUGAUAGACAACAGAAUGAAUGAAUAUAUAGCGGCUCAUCAUUCGACACUCCACUCAGUUUUCAGCCGCCUGUGAAGUUCUUGGAUUAUCAAUUAAUACGUCACAAGGAAUCAGAAUGUCAAAAAUAAUUUUAUUAUUAUCAAUUUUCGUAUUAAUUGGACUCUAUGCCAGCACAGUUGAAGCAUGUAGAGGAAAUUGGUGCCAUCCCCAACAAGGCUACAAGUGUAAUUGUCCAGGUUAUUCAUGUACUUCCUACUAUCGUCAGGGUACUUGCUUACCCCAUAAUGAAAUUGAUCAUCCCUACCGUUAAGAAAAAACAAAUAUUAAUUCUUUCCAGGAUAUUUAUUACGACGAAAUUCAGCUCUGCAUGAAUUUUGUAAUAUUUAUUCAAAAAUAUAUAAAUAAAAACUAAAAUAAUUAUUGUAACAACAA